rnacentral:rRNA from 1 species
ACGAACGCUGGCGGCGUGCCUAAUACAUGCAAGUCGAGCGAAGUUUUUCUGGUGCUUGCACUAGAAAAACUUAGCGGCGAACGGGUGAGUAACACGUAAAGAACCUGCCUCAUAGACUGGGACAACUAUUGGAAACGAUAGCUAAUACCGGAUAACAGUAUUUCUCGCAUGAGAGAUAUUUAAAAGUUGGUUAUGCUAACACUAUGAGAUGGCUUUGCGGUGCAUUAGCUAGUUGGUGGGGUAAAGGCCCACCAAGGCGACGAUGCAUAGCCGACCUGAGAGGGUGAUCGGCCACACUGGGACUGAGACACGGCCCAGACUCCUACGGGAGGCAGCAGUAGGGAAUCUUCCGCAAUGGGCGAAAGCCUGACGGAGCAACGCCGCGUGAGAGAAGAAGGAUUUCGGUUCGUAAAGCUCUGUUGUUAGGGAAGAAUGGAUAUGUAGUAACUAUACAUGUAAGAGACGGUACCUAACCAGAAAGCCACGGCUAACUACGUG